GAAAUGGGAAUUCGGAAAGGUCUGGACCACGCCCGCUCACAGCUUGGAACAGGAGGCCGAAGGGUCCGCAGACCCGGCCCAGACUCGCAGCCAGGCCCUCGAGAACACUCUGGAAGCGCCUUACCCUGUCAACAGGCUGGAGAGAGCACUGCUGGCUCCUGCUCGGCUUGUCUGGGGAAUCCCAGCUCCCCUAGGAGGAGGGGUUUUCAAACUGGGGCUUGAGACCCCUUGGGAGUGUGUGAAAUCAGCAUAAAGAGUCUUGACCUGCGUUGAAAUGGGGGAAACAGGAUAGACACGACCACCCACGUGGCACCGUUCCAGCUACUUGGAUGGCUAAGGCGGAAGGAUCGCUG